ACUCAAAUGAAUAGACGGGGACUCGCACAAGCGGUGGAGCAUGAGGUUCAAUUCGACACUAACCGAAAAACCUUACCCGGAUUUGAAAUGCACGUGAAAACAUUAGGAAACUAGUGUUGUCCCUUAAAAGACACGUGCACAGGUGCUGCAUGGUUGUCGUCAGCUCGUGCUUUGAAGUGUUCCCUUAAGUGGGGUAACGAGCGCAACCCGCACCGUGUGUUUGAUCUGUCACACGGAACCGCCCAGCUUUUUGUCCGUAACGCGCAAGCGUUGUGGUCAAGAAGCUGGGAGGAAGGAGCGGAUGACGUCAAAUCAGCAUGGCCCUCUGAUAUCCGGGGCCACACUCGUGCUACAAUGGCAAAAACAAAGGGUCGCCAACCCGCAAGGGGGAGCUAAUCCCGAAAUUUUGCCCCAGUUCAGAUAGGAGGCUGCAACUCGCCUCCUUGAAGCCGGAAUCGCUAGUAAUCGCGGAUCAGCAUGCCGCGGUGAAUACGUUCUCGAGUCCUGUACACACCGCCCGU
rnacentral:rRNA from 1 species